AUGUGCUAUAACUACCACACAAUUGCACUCAUCUCACACACUAGUAAAGUAAUGCUCAAAAUUCUCCAAGCCAGGCUUCAGCAAUAUGUGAACCAUGAACCUCCAGAUGUUCAAGCUGGUUUUAGAAAAGGCAGAGGAACCAGAGGUCAAAUUGCCAACAUCCGCUGGAUCAUGGAAAAAGCAGGAGAGUUCCAGAAAAACGCCUAUUUCUGCUUUAUUGACUAUGCCAAAGCCUUUGACUGUGUGGAUCACAAUAAAUUAUGGAAAAUUCUGAAAGAGAUGGGAAUACCAGACCACCUGACCUGCCUCUUGAGAAACCCGUAUGCAGGUCAGAAAGCAACAGUUAGAACUGGCCAUGGAACCACAGACUGGUUCCAAAUAGGAAAAGGAGUACGUCAAGGCUGUAUAUUGUCACCCUGCUUAUUUAACUUCUAUGCAGAGUACAUCAUGAGAAACGCUGGACUGGAAGAAACACAAGCUGGAAUCAAGAUUUCCGGGAGAAAUAUCAAUAACCUCAGAUAUGCAGAUGACACCACCCUUAUGGCAGAAAGUGAAGAGGAACUAAAAAGCCUCUUGAUGAAAGUGAAAGAGGAGAGUGAAAAAGUUGGCUUAAAGCUCAACAUUCAGAAAAUGAGGAUCAUGGCAUCUGGUCCCAUCAUUCCAUGGGAAAUAGAUGGGGAAACAGUGGAAACAGUGGCUGACUUUAUUUUUCUGGGCUCCAAAAUCACUGCAGAUGGUGACUGCAGCCAUGAAAUUAAAAGACAAUUACUCCUUGGAAGGAAAGUUAUGACCAACCUAGACAGCAUAUUGAAAAGUAGAGACAUUACUUUGCCAAUAAAGCUCCGUCUAGUCAAGGCUAUAGUUUUUCCAGUGGUUAUGUGUGGAUGUGAGAUUUGGACUGUGAAGAAACCUGAGCACCGAAGAAUUGAUGCUUUUGAACUGUGGUGCUGGAGAAGACUCUUGAGAGUCCCUUGGACUGCAAGGAGAUCCGACCAGUCCAUUCUAAAGGAGAUCAGCCCUGGGAGUUCUUUGGAAGGAAUGAUGCUAAAGCUGAAACUCCAGUACUUUGGCCACCUCAUGCGAAGUGGAAAAGACUCUGAUGCUGGGAGGGAUUGGGGGCAGGAGGAGAAGGGGACGACAGAGGAUGAGAUGGCUGGAUGGCAUGCUGGACUCGAUGGAUGUGAGUUUGAGUGA
rnacentral:lncRNA from 1 species